rnacentral:rRNA from 1 species
AGAGAUGCACUGGGUGUAAAGAGUGCGCAGGCGGUUUUGUAAGACAGAGGUGAAAUCCCCGGGCUCAACCUGGGAACUGCCUUUGUGACUGCAAGGCUGGAGUGCGGCAGAGGGGGAUGGAAUUCCGCGUGUAGCAGUGAAAUGCGUAGAUAUGCGGAGGAACACCGAUGGCGAAGGCAAUCCCCUGGGCCUGCACUGACGCUCAUGCACGAAAGCGUGGGGAGCAAACA